CAGUCGCCACGGUAAUACGAGGGGGGCAAGCGUUGUUCGGAUUUAUUGGGCGUAAAGGGUGCGUAGGCGGUUUGGCAAGUCUUGUGUGAAAUCUUCGGGCUCAACCCGAAGCCUGCACGAGAAACUACCGGGCUUGAGUAUCGGAGAGGUGAGUGGAAUUUCCGGUGUAGCGGUGAAAUGCGUAGAUAUCGGAAGGAACACCUGUGGCGAAAGCGGCUCACUGGACAAUAACUGACGCUGAUGCACGAAAGCUAGGGGAGCAAACAGGAUUAGAUACCCCCGUAGUCCCUGUCUCUUAUAC
rnacentral:rRNA from 1 species